GAUGAACGCUAGCGGCAGGCUUAAUACAUGCAAGUCGAACGGUAAGGUCUCUUCGGAGAUACACGAGUGGCGCACGGGUGCGUAACGCGUAUGCAACCUACCUUUAACUGGGAAAUAGCCCCGAGAAAUCGGGAUUAAUGUCCCAUAUUAUUCUUUGAAUACCUAUUCGAGGAAUGAAAGCUCCGGCGGUUAUUGAUGGGCAUGCGUGACAUUAGCUAGUUGGUGAGGUAACGGCUCACCAAGGCAACGAUGUCUAGGGGUCCUGAAAGGGUUAACCCCCACACUGGUACUGAGACACGGACCAGACUCCUACGGGAGGCAGCAGUAAGGAAUAUUGGGCAAUGGACGCAAGUCUGACCCAGCCAUGCCGCGUGAAGGAUGAAUGUCCUAUGGAUUGUAAACUUCUUUUAUGCAGGAAAAAUAUCCCGGUCGUGAACCGGGACUGAUGGUACUGUAUGAAUAAGCAUCGGCUAACUCCGUGCCAGCAGCCGCGGUAA
rnacentral:rRNA from 1 species